ACAUCACUACAGUCAGAACUCACAAACGGAAAAUAAGUGAAAAGAAAACAGACAAAGACAACCACAACCGCCCAAUAAUCACUAAUCAAAAUCACACAACCCCAUUCACGGACAGUCUGUUCCAAGCUAAUUGGCUACAGCACUAUAAAAGGUAGCAGACUCGUCCGCCAUUGUGGAGCCCAAUUUUUGACAUUUCUCAUUUAUUUGUGAAUGGUGCUAUCGUGUUUUAUAUUAAAUUAGACAAUAUGACUGGUUGUUCAGCUCCUAACUGCAAUAAUCAUUCAAGAAAUGGUUUUAAAUUUCAUAGGUUCCCUGCUGAUCCGGAUAGACGGAAAAAAUGGUUAGUAAACUGCAGAAGACAGGAUUGGAAUCCCACCCAAAAUGACCGAUUGUGCUCUGCACAUUUUGAGGAUUCUCAAUUGG
rnacentral:lncRNA from 1 species